AGUCGAACGCGUGUAGCAAUACACGAGUGGCGGACGGGUGAGUAACGCGUGGGAACCUGCCCAGUGGUAGGGAAUAACCGCGGGAAACUGCGGCUAAUACCCUAUGAGCCCUACGGGGGAAAGAUUUAUCGCCAUUGGAGGGGCCCGCGUCGGAUUAGCUAGUUGGUAGGGUAAUGGCCUACCAAGGCGACGAUCCGUAGCUGGUCUGAGAGGAUGAUCAGCCACACUGGGACUGAGAUACGGCCCAGACUCCUACGGGAGGCAGCAGUGGGGAAUAUUGGACAAUGGGGGAAACCCUGAUCCAGCAAUGCCGCGUGAGUGAAGAAGGCCUUAGGGUUGUAAAGCUCUUUCGGCGGGGACGAUGAUGACGGUACCCGCAGAAGAAGCCCCGGCUAACUCCGUGCCAGCAGCCGCGGUAAUACGGAGGGGGCUAGCGUUGUUCGGAAUUACUGGGCGUAAAGCGCAUGUAGGCGGCGCGUCAAGUCGGGGGUGAAAGGCCUGGGCUCAACCCA
rnacentral:rRNA from 1 species